rnacentral:rRNA from 1 species
GACAGAGGGUGCAAACGUUGCUCGGAAUCACUGGGCGUAAAGGGCGUGUAGGCGGGAAGGAAAGUCAGAUGUGAAAUCCCCAGGCUCAACCUGGGAACUGCAUUUGAAACUCCCUUUCUUGAGUACCGGAGAGGAAAGUGGAAUUCCUGGUGUAGAGGUGAAAUUCGUAGAUAUCAGGAGGAACACCAGUGGCGAAGGCGGCUUUCUGGACGGUAACUGACGCUGAGACGCGAAAGCUAGGGGAGCGAACGGG